rnacentral:rRNA from 1 species
CCUACGGGAGGCUGCAGUAGGGAAUAUUGCUCAAUGGGGGAAACCCUGAAGCAGCAACGCCGCGUGGAGGAUGAAGGUUUUCGGAUUGUAAACUCCUUUUGUUAGAGAAGAUAAUGACGGUAUCUAACGAAUAAGCACCGGCUAACUCCGUGCCAGCAGCCGCGGUAAUACGGAGGGUGCAAGCGUUACUCGGAAUCACUGGGCGUAAAGAGCGCGUAGGCGGGAUAGCAAGUCAGUUGUGAAAUCCUAUGGCUUAACCAUAGAACUGCAGUUGAAACUGUUAUUCUAGAGUAUGGGAGAGGUAGGUGGAAUUCUUGGUGUAGGGGUGAAAUGCGUAGAGAUCAAGAGGAAUACUCAUUGCGAAGGCGACCUGCUAGAACAUAACUGACGCUGAUGCGCGAAAGCGUGGGGAGCAAACAGGAUUAGAUACCCCGGUAGUC